AGACUGCAAACCAGCAGGAUUCCUGGGUUCCUCUUCAAGGAGGCAAGGUUUCUUAAAUGGCAUAUUGUCACAAGACCAGAAGAGACCUUUGGGACUCAUUCCAUCUGUCAGAAAAUAAUUUUCCAAGUUUGUUGUCAGAUGAAGAGUUAAAGAAUGCACCAAAAAA